CAACAAUCAAGCCUAGCUUGGUCUUGGGCCUCGCCGGAGACGGCGGGCCUUAAAAUCAGUGGCGGCGCCUGUCGGGCCUUAAGCGUAGUAAUAACUCCUCGCUACAGGGACUCGACGGAUGCUGGCCAUCAACCCCCAACUUUCUAA
rnacentral:misc_RNA from 1 species